UUUGCGUCGAAGGUAUACCGGUAAGGAGUGCUGGAGCGAAUAGAAGUGAGCAUGCAGGCAUGAGUAGCGAUAAUUAAUGUGAGAAUCAUUAACGCCGUAAACCCAAGGUUUCCUACGCGAUGCUCGUCAUCGUAGGGUUAGUCGGGUCCUAAGUCGAGUCCGAAAGGGGUAGACGAUGGCAAAUUGGUUAAUAUUCCAAUACCAACAUUAGUGUGCGAUGGAAGGACGCUUAGGGCUAAGGGGGCUAGCGGAUGGAAGUGCUAGUCUAAGGUCGUAGGAGGUUAUACAGGCAAAUCCGUAUAACAAUACUCCGAGAACUGAAAGGCUUUUUGAAGUCUUCGGAUGGAUAGAAGAACCCCUGAUGCCGUCGAGCCAAGAAAAGUUUCUAAGUUUAGCUAAUGUUGCCCGUACCGUAAACCGACACAGGUGGGUGGGAUGAGUAUUCUAAGGCGCGUGGAAGAACUCUCUUUAAGGAACUCUGCAAAAUAGCACCGUAUCUUCGGUAUAAGGUGUGGUUAGCUUUGUAUUAGGAUUUACUCCGAAAGCAAGGAAACUUACAACAAAGAGUCCCUCCCGACUGUUUACCAAAAACACAGCACUCUGCUAACUCGUAAGAGGAUGUAUAGGGUGUGACGCCUGCCCGGUGCUCGAAGGUUAAUUGAUGGGGUUAGCAUUAGCGAAGCUCUUGAUCGAAGCCCGAGUAAACGGCGGCCGUAACUAUAACGGUCCUAAGGUAGCGAAAUUCCUUGUCGGUUAAAUACCGACCUGCAUGAAUGGCGUAACGAGAUGGGAGCUGUCUCAAAGAGGGAUCCAGUGAAAUUGUAGUGGAGGUGAAAAUUCCUCCUACCCGCGGCAAGACGGAAAGACCCCGUGGACCUUUACUACAGCUUGACAUUGCUACUUGGAUAAGAAUGUGCAGGAUAGGUGGGAGGCUUUGAGUAUAUGACGCCAGUUGUAUAUGAGCCAUUGUUGAGAUACCACUCUUUCUUAUUUGGGUAGCUAACCAGCUUGAGUUAUCCUCAAGUGGGACAAUGUCUGGUGGGUAGUUUGACUGGGGCGGUCGCCUCCCAAAUAAUAACGGAGGCUUACAAAGGUUGGCUCAGAACGGUUGGAAAUCGUUCGUAGAGUAUAAAGGUAUAAGCCAGCUUAACUGCAAGACAUACAAGUCAAGCAGAGACGAAAGUCGGUCUUAGUGAUCCGGUGGUUCUGUGUGGAAGGGCCAUCGCUCAAAGGAUAAAAGGUACCCCGGGGAUAACAGGCUGAUCUCCCCCAAGAGCUCACAUCGACGGGGAGGUUUGGCACCUCGAUGUCGGCUCAUCGCAUCCUGGGGCUGGAGCAGGUCCCAAGGGUAUGGCUGUUCGCCAUUUAAAGCGGUACGCGAGCUGGGUUCAGAACGUCGUGAGACAGUUCGGUCCCUAUCUGCCGUGGGCGUAAGAAGAUUGAAGAGAUUUGACCCUAGUACGAGAGGACCGGGUUGAACAAACCACUGGUGUAGCUGUUGUUCUGCCAAGAGCAUCGCAGCGUAGCUAAGUUUGGAAAGGAUAAACGCUGAAAGCAUCUAAGCGUGAAGCCAACUCUAAGAUGAAUCUUCUCUAAGCUCUCUAGAAGACUACUAGUUUGAUAGGCUGGGUGUGUAAU
rnacentral:rRNA from 1 species